UACGGAGGAUCCGAGCGUUAUCCGGAUUUAUUGGGUUUAAAGGGUGCGUAGGCGGUUUGAUAAGUUAGAGGUGAAAUGUCGGGGCUCAACCCCGAAACUGCCUCUAAUACUGUUGGACUAGAGAAUAGUUGCGGUAGGCGGAAUGUAUGGUGUAGCGGUGAAAUGCUUAGAGAUCAUACAGAACACCGAUUGCGAAGGCAGCUUACCAAACUAUAUCUGACGUUGAGGUACGAAAGCGUGGGUAGCAAACAGG
rnacentral:rRNA from 1 species